GCGAAAGUGGCGGAACUGGCAGACGCGCCGGAUUUAGGAACCGGUAGCCGAAAGGCUGUGGGGGUUCAAAUCCCCCCUUUCGCACCA
rnacentral:tRNA from 1 species